GGCGAACGGGUGAGGAACACGUGAAGAAUCUGCCUUCAACUCUGGGAUAACACCGGGAAACCGGUGCUAAUACCUGAUAUGAGCCUUGGCCGCAUGGCCGGGGCUGGAAAGUUUUUCGGUUGAAGAUGACUUCGCGGCCUAUCAGCUUGUUGGUGAGGUAACGGCUCACCAAGGCGACGACGGGUAGCCGGCCUGAGAGGAUGAUCAGCCACACUGGGACUGAGACACGGCCCAGACUCCUACGGGAGGCAGCAGUGGGGAAUCUUGCGCAAUGGGCGAAAGCCUGACGCAGCAACGCCGCGUGCGGGAUGAAGGCCUUCGGGUUGUAAACCGCUUUCAGUAGGGAAGAAGCGAAAGUGACGGUACCUACAGAAGAAGCACCGGCUAACUAUGUGCCAGCAGCCGCGGUAAUACAUAGGGUGCAAGCGUUGUCCGGAAUUAUUGGGCGUAAAGAGCUCGUAGGUGGUUCGUUACGUCGGAUGUGAAAAUCUGGGGCUCAACCCCAGACCUGCAUCCGAUACGGUCGAGCUAGAGUUUGGUAGGGGAGACUGGAAUUCCUGGUGUAGCGGUGGAAUGCGCAGAUAUCAGGAGGAACACCAAUGGCGAAGGCAGGUCUCUGGGCCAAUACUGACACUGAGGAGCGAAAGCGUGGGGAGCGAACAGGAUUAGAUACCCUGGUAGUCCACGCCGUAAACGGUGGGCGCUAGUUGUG
rnacentral:rRNA from 1 species